rnacentral:snoRNA from 1 species
CCCUCCUACGAAGGUGUGUCUGUGGUUCCCUGUGCUUGGACAUGUUAAGAAUUGGAGGCAAAGAGAGGUGGACUUGGGUAAGCCUGGAGCUAGCUUGCUCAACUCCACAGGCUCAAGAUCACCCUUUCCCACACAG